rnacentral:sRNA from 20 species
CCGGCCGCCAAAGGGGUCGGCAAACAGAACUAUCAGUUUUGAUCUUGUGUCCAUGUUGCUCAAAGGAGGAUAUGGCUAUGAGAG